rnacentral:sRNA from 1 species
UCCACCUCGUUGUCGGCCCAAUAAUUUCGCACGCCGUCGCACGUUCGUGCACCUCAAAGAAGGGUGCGCCGUUUCUAGAAAAAGAAGCCUUCAAGCCAUAAGAGGUGAUGGGGUAGGAAAAACAGAAGAUUUUAGUUAGUGAAGCACCUUCAUAUUGCAUGCCAGAUUUGUUACCCUUACCAUGUCUACAAUGCUAAUCACGAAGAUAAUGGAUACGAGACUGAGGAAAGACAAUGAAGUGGAAGGGUCUCUCUACAAUGCUGAUGAAUGAACUCUCAAUGGUGUUGAUGAAGUGACUUUCAAUGGUGCUGAUGAAGGUGAUAUUAAUGGUGGUGAAGAAGGGGCUGAUGAUGUUGGAACUGAAGGUAAUGCAGAGGAAGACAGUACUGAUAAUGAAUUUGUGGACGAUGAAUAUUUAUGGAAGAUGAUGAUCGUGGUGCAAUAGAUGAAAAAAGUGUAGAUACACUAAUUGGAGAAGAUCAUAGGGGUGAAAGGUUUGGUAAUGGUGGAGAUGGUGACAACUAAAAUAUUGAUGAAGUUAUUGAUGAAAGGGAUGUAAACUACGUUCCCUUUGAUGAUGGAAUAUAAGACUUAGAUGGCCUGCACAUUGUUGAUGAAUUAGGUUCUGAGGUUGAUGAAAGGGUCAUAUACCCUGAGUUCAAUGAAGAAGCUAACAUGGAUGAUCCAAAUUUUGAAAAAGGAUUGAAGUUCAGAGAUGUUUCACAAUUGAGAGAGGCACUGUGGUCACACUCCAUUUAGCACGGUGCUAUUUCAAUUAGGCUGAAAAUGAAUAAGAAGUGGAAGAUAAGUGCAAAGUGUGCAACAAACUGCAGGUGGAAAUUGUAUGCUUUUAGGAUAGGGGAUAACAAUUCUAAUUGUUAAACUCGAUAACCAUGGAUAACCACCCAAAUAGAUUGGAUUUGGGUAUGAAAAUUUGGGUAUAUUUUGAAUAUGAAGAAAAACCGUGAAUAUUAUUCAGUUAUGGUUUUGGAUAUGGUUAUAGAGGUAUCCAAUCCGUAUCCAUC